rnacentral:rRNA from 1 species
UACGUAGGAUGCAAGCGUUGUCCGGAUUUACUGGGCGUAAAGCGCGUGUAGGCGGCUGCGCAAGUCGGGUGUGAAAGCCCUGGGCUCAACCCAGGAAGUGCACUCGAAACUGCGUAGCUGGAGUCUCGGAGAGGGAGGCGGAAUUCUGGGUGUAGAGGUGAAAUUCGUAGAUAUCCAGAGGAACACCGGUGGCGAAGGCGGCCUCCUGGACGAGAACUGACGCUGAGACGCGAAAGCGUGGGGAGCAAACAGG